GCUGAAGCAGUUCAGGGCGAUGGCGUCGCCGUCGUUCAAGGACGAGGACGUCAAGGAUUUUGCCGGGAAACUCUUCUAAGAACAGAAGAAAAAAAAACAAAUUUUUGAUCACUCACUAAUCACUAGUCAUCUACCUCGUUUGAAAUGGUAGAUAAAUUUAUUUUUUUAGCAGCUCGCAUUGAGCGAAAUGUGCAUAUAGGAUUCAGGGAUUAUUCCAUUGAUUCUUUUGUAAAUGCUCAGACCGAAAUUGAUGAAC
rnacentral:lncRNA from 1 species